GACGAACGCUGGCGGCGUGCUUAACACAUGCAAGUCGAACGCUGAAGCUCAGCUUGCUGGGUGGAUGAGUGGCGAACGGGUGAGUAACACGUGAGUAACCUGCCCUCUUCUUUGGGAUAACGCCCGGAAACGGGUGCUAAUACUGGAUAUUCACUGAUUCUCGCAUGGGGGUUGGUGGAAAGGUUUUUUCUGGUGGGGGAUGGGCUCGCGGCCUAUCAGCUUGUUGGUGGGGUGAUGGCCUACCAAGGCUUUGACGGGUAGCCGGCCUGAGAGGGUGACCGGUCACAUUGGGACUGAGAUACGGCCCAGACUCCUACGGGAGGCAGCAGUGGGGAAUAUUGCACAAUGGGCGAAAGCCUGAUACAGCGACGCCGCGUGAGGGAUGGAGGCCUUCGGGUUGUAAACCUCUUUCGCUCAUGGUCAAGCCGCAGCUUUGGGUUGUGGUGAGGGUAGUGGGUAAAGAAGCGCCGGCUAACUACGUG
rnacentral:rRNA from 1 species